UACGUAGGGUGCAAGCGUUGUCCGGAAUUAUUGGGCGUAAAGAGCUCGUAGGCGGUUUGUCGCGUCUGCUGUGAAAACUCGGAGCUCAACUCCGAGCCUGCUUCCGAUACGGGCAGACUAGAGGUAGGCAGGGGAGAGCGGAACUCCUGGUGUAGCGGUGGAAUGCGCAGAUAUCAGGAAGAACACCGGUGGCGAAGGCGGCUCUCUGGUACGGCACUGACGCUGAGACGCGAAAGCGUGGGGAGCAAACAGG
rnacentral:rRNA from 1 species